AACGAACGCUGGCGGCAUGCCUAACACAUGCAAGUCGAACGAGACCUUCGGGUCUAGUGGCGCACGGGUGCGUAACGCGUGGGAACCUGCCCUUAGGUUCGGAAUAACUCAGAGAAAUUUGAGCUAAUACCGGAUAAUGUCUUCGGACCAAAGAUUUAUCGCCUUUGGAUGGGCCCGCGUAGGAUUAGCUUGUUGGUGGGGUAAUGGCCUACCAAGGCGACGAUCCUUAGCUGGUCUGAGAGGAUGAUCAGCCACACUGGGACUGAGACACGGCCCAGACUCCUACGGGAGGCAGCAGUGGGGAAUAUUGGACAAUGGGCGAAAGCCUGAUCCAGCAAUGCCGCGUGAGUGAUGAAGGCCUUAGGGUUGUAAAGCUCUUACCAGGGAUGAUAAUGACAGUACCUGGAGAAUAAGCUCCGGCUAACUCCGUG
rnacentral:rRNA from 1 species